UCCCUGAUGGUCCAGUGGUUAAGGCUCUGUGUUUUCACUGCAGGGGGUGCAGGUUCAGUUCCUGGUCUGGGAA
rnacentral:tRNA from 1 species